rnacentral:rRNA from 1 species
UCGGUUGAUCCUGCCGGAGGUCACUGCUAUCAGUGUUCGANUAAGCCAUGCAAGUCAAAUGUUNUUCGUGAACAUGGCGGACUGCUCAGUAACACGUGGAUAANCUGCCCUUAGGAUUGGCAUAACACCGGGAAACUGGUGAUAAUACCGAAUAGACCAUUUAUGCUGGAAUGCUUUUUGGUUCAAAGGCUUCGGCUGCCUAAGGAUGGAUCUGCGGCCUAUCAGGUAGUAGUGGGUGUAAUGUACCUACUAGCCUACGACGGGUACGGGUUGUGAGAGCAAGAGCCCGGAGAUGGAUUCUGAGACAUGAAUCCAGGCCCUACGGGGCGCAGCAGGCGCGAAAACUUUACAAUGCGGGAAACCGCGAUAAGGGGACACUGAGUGCCAGCAUAUUAUGUUGGCUGUCCACAUGUAUAAAAACCAUGUGUUAGCAAGGGCCGGGCAAGACCGGUGCCAGCCGCCGCGGUAACACCGGCGGCCCGAGUGGUGAUCACUUUUAUUGGGUCUAAAGGGUCCGUAGCCGGUUUGAUCAGUCUUCUGGGAAAUCUGACAGCUCAACUGUUAGGCUUUCAGGGGAUACUGUUAAACUUGGGACCGGGAGAGGUAAGAGGUACUACAGGGGUAGGAGUGAAAUCUUGUAAUCCCUGUGGGACCACCAGUGGCGAAGGCGUCUUACCAGAACGGGUCCGACGGUGAGGGACGAAAGCUGGGGGCACGAACCGGAUUAGAUACCCGGGUAGUCCCAGCCGUAAACGAUGUUCGCUAGGUGUCAGGGACGGUGCGACCGUUUCUGGUGCCGUAGGGAAGCCGUGAAGCGAACCACCUGGGAAGUACGGCCGCAAGGCUGAAACUUAAAGGAAUUGGCGGGG